GUCACCACAGUGUGACCUCAGCACGGACCCCGAGCCACACUGCGCUGAUCCCGCAGGCGGCAGAGCUGGUAAGGAAUGUAAGGGGACCAGCCACCUCUGAGGAGCAGCGGGGUCCCUCCUCACAGGGUGCUGGCUCCGCAAGCGUCCGCCGUUCUUCUCCGAGCCCUGCGCGUUGGAAGACUCGCCCUGCUGUGCGCCCGGGUUUUGCAAUCCAGCCCUGGCGCUCGCUCGUGCUCAGCUGGGUCUGUGUCUGCCCCAGCUCAGUCCCCACUAGUUUCUGGGCAUGGGAGAAGACACCUCCCAGAGGGUAUGAGGACUGUCUUUACUCAGAGGAGACACACCCUUCCUCGGGCCCAGCACCAUCUAGUAAGAAGGAGGAGGAUAUCUGAAAGGCGUGUCUGGCAUGAUGGGCUGGUGCAGCCAGGACAGCUCUUUCCUGAAGGUCAGUCCUGCCCUUUUCCACUGACGUCCCAAAUGCUUGCAUCCUUGUGUGCCCUGACCAUCUCCCUCAUCAAUGCUGUCCCUUCCCAGCAUCCUUUCCUCUUGGCGCCCACCACCUCACAUGAGGUCACCAAAGACAGCUCUCCUUCUAGCUUUCUGUUCUGCUGUCCUCACAAACCAAGAUGGUCAGGAUCGGCACUCUCUCAGCCCCCACCAGACCACCAGCUGGGCUCCCUCCUACAAGAGGGGCAGCAACACUCAGGGAAGAGCUGCCCAUCUGAUGCCUGAUGAGCACAGGACCCUGGAGUCCGACCAUCAGCUCCCUGACUCCGGAAGAAGUUAGAAACAGCUGUCAUUCAGAUGACAAAUACAAGCUGCCGGCCUUUGAGAUAGCAGGCCAUAAGCCUCAAUAAGACAGAUUCCGGAUGCUUAGAAGCAUUCAAGUGAAGAAUGCGCCUGGACUCCGACA
rnacentral:lncRNA from 1 species